UUAUCGGCAUAGUAUCUGUAGAAAUAACUUCAAUCAACUGCAAAUUUUCUGUAUAGCCAGGUGAGCGAUACAGGCCCAUUGGGCCUCUUGUAUAUUUUGUUACUCCAUUGUCAAGUGAUGAUUUUGUCAAUUUACACAUUUUGUAUGAUAUAAUUGGUCAAUAGACACAUUUUGUAUGAUAUAAUUGGUAUGUCAUUUUGAAAUGAUUUGUCCGUUAGAUUUAAAUAUGAAACAUUAUAAAUUACCCUGUACUGAAUUCAUUAUUUCAUGUAGGACAAAGGUUCCAUUAAAUCUAUGAAGCUGUCGCUAGAAAAACCAUGAAACCUAUUACGUUAUUGUGUACAAGAACACUGAUAAUGACCUUGAACAUGUUGCUGUUGUUCUUCGCCACUCGUAUAAAAAGAAGUUUCAUAUUUGAAAUAGUUACCAGGUACUUCUUUUGUGAGUUUUAAGUAAUAGUCAUUGAUAUAUAAUGUUAUAAUGCUUGCUUGCAGUUUAAUUAAAAUAUCAAGCAUUAUUACAUGUAAGACAUCAAUGAGACUUGAUUACAUAUAUUGUUUCAUAGGUAUUUGAAUAAUUAUGACGAAUAAUUCACCGCUGCAUCUAUCCACAAAUAAGCCACUCCAUAAGAUACUCCAGGGGUUACCAUCACACGGCUAUACCUGUGAGUAUAGAAGAUUAUGUAUUACAUGUCCUGAUUGCUUUUAAUUGGCAUCAUGUGAUGUCAUUAUGGGAAAAGAAGAGGCAGGAAAUAUAAAAUCAUGACAAGUAAUAUAUUAGGGUUUGCCUUGUAAAAUUUCCCCAAAAUAUUCUCAGCCACUGUGAUAAUGCUUUUUCCUAGGUGUGUUAUCUAGUCUAUAGUCUUUAAAUAAAAUAUUUUUUAUAUGUUUGUAUGGUAGCUUAGAUGUAUGAAAUGUGAUGAGAUCAUUUGCUGUUUCAAAGUGCUAAAUAUACAUAGUGUAUAUAGUUUGUGUAUUUGACUUUUUUUUUUUUUUUUUGCAUUUAUGUCAAUAAAUAUCUGGUAAGUACUGUCGAAAUAUAGAAUUACAAGUACUCGGUACUUAAUCAUAUAUUUGGGCAAGGCAGAGAAAACUGUAAAUCUAUACUACUUAGGAGAGUUAGCUGAUGCAGUCUGUCUGCCCAUUGUCACUGUGCUUGAUUCCUUAUUUCCACCCAACCAUUUAUGAUUAUACAUUUUAAAUUUACAUACCGGUGUCCAGCAAACCAAUGCUCAUGAUUUUUUACCAGAGUUUUCCCCCUUGGUUUGCAGUAUUAGUUGUUACCAUAUGAUAGUAAGCAUAAAAAUUGUCUCAAAAUUCAUUAUUUAAAAUUAUAUCUUUGAAAACUGGAAUUGUUACUCACCCUCAUAGUUUACUCCAACAAUGUUAGUGGUUUUACACGGCGAGAUACUUUUGACAAGCGCCGAGUCGGCAAAAUAAUAUGCGAUAGAAAAAGAGCCGACCAGCGGCCUCUUAUGUUAUAGGAGUACCUCAUAGUUAUGUAUAUGGAAGCUAUUAGUAGUUGAAUUUUAGGGUGUGCAUGUUGGUUUGUUUUCAAGCUGAGCCCAAAUGUUGGACAAUUUAUUUCUAAAUUAAGUACGGUACUCAUUUCACUGACAAGUCAAUAUUAUCACAAAAACUUUUAUUAGACAUGAAAUACAUACAGGCAUAAUCUUUAACAUAAUAAUAAUGUUUGCUAUCUAUUGUUAUCAACAGAUAUACUGCUACAUUGAUAUGAUUUGCUUGUAUCAAAAGGUAGCUAGUUUACAACCACAGAAAAUAUCAAGCGAACCUUACGAUACUUGUAUGGAAUACGAGGAUUGUUAUUCUGGGUUGUCCCUGACCAAUUAACGUAUAUAUUGCCAUGUAUUCAAAAAAUGAAUGAUACAGACCAUAUAUUUAUCCAGCCCUCAUCUAUUGUAGUCUGAUAAAAAUAUCAACAUUACCCUGCAGUAAAACCCGGGCCUUACUUUAGAGAUCAAGCAUUGGCCCAUGGGGCUUUUUCCGUCCUCAUUUUAUGAAGGUGGGUAUUGCAAAAGACAUUAAAACAUGUGGGCAUAUUAUUAUUGCAGGAUAAAUAUACGGUACAUUUCUGUAUGUUACACUUGUAAUACACAUUUAGGUAGGUGAUACUCGACAACAUUGGCUUUGACGAAGUGGAUACUUACGAGGGCCAAAAUGUUCUAAGGUCCAAUCACUAAUAGCAUAAUUGUUUUGUUAAUGUCAAGGGCAAGUAAGUUCUAAGGUCAAAUCACUGAUAGCAUUGUUUUGUUAAUGUUAAUCGAUCAUUUAUAACAAGGUAGACAAUAAUCAAAGUUGACCAACUUAGAUAUUUGAAUAGACGACCAAAUCUCGAACUUCUAUACUAAAACAUAAGUGGCAUCUCGCUAGAAUAAAAACUUGGCUUUAACAACAUCUGCAGACAUCAUAGGUGCCUUACUUCUGAAGCCUGACUUCAAUGACAACAGACUUAACUGACAACUUCAGACAUCAAUAGCAAAACUAAAACAGUUUAGAUAGUGUAUAGAAUUAUCUAAACGAUAAGUUUGCACAGUGGGCUUUUAAAACAGAUUCUAAUAUUAUACAGUUGUGACUGGCCAAAGCGUUCACAUGACAUUUUAUAUUGUCAUGUUCUAUCAUUACUCCAACUGUAUAGUAUUUCAGGGCAAUAAACUUAUGAUGGGUGCCUUGUAGUCUCAACUUCUCAUGUCAGAGUCACACUGCUUAGACUGUCAAAUUUUCAAAGUUUGGAUUAUGUCAUUACCUCUCUUUCAUGAAUCCAUCAUAAACUCCACAUAAUAAAGACAUAAAUCAUGAUUAUUUUCCUCUCCAGGCUUAAAUCCUGUAAAAUAAUCCUGUAAAAAAAUCAUAUUGAAAAUGGUGAUUGAACUGUUUAAUAAGUAUAUAUAAUACCACACUGAUUGUCAUUAUUUAGAAUUAUAAAUACUGAUAUUAUUGUAUAUUAACUUGGCAAGCGAAGUGCCAAAUAGUGUUUGGUUGCUCAAGGUCAGUUGGUAUCUUAACAUGAAAAUAGCCAGAGACGAACUUUAGCUAGCUGAAGUAGUCUGUUCAUCAGCAAUUAUUAUCUAUCCAAGAAAGUGAGAGUUCAUCAGCAAUUAUUAUCUAUCCAAGAAAGUGAGAGGAAAAUUCUACCAAGCUGACAAUAUGUAACAACAAAGUGCUUGGGUGACUAAUAGCCAUGAAUUGUUUGAGAAUUAAGACAACAUGCAUGUGUGACCAAUAACAUUGGUUCAGAAUCUCCCUCCAUGAUUAUGGUAGAUAAAUUAUAAGUCUGCAAAGUGAAAAAUUACACAAGGCAACAAGUCUCGGGGAGAAACCACCUUUCCACCUUUAAAUCAAAAAUAACACAAAAUUAGUUAUGACGCAAAGAUGCAUCUUGCCACUCAGUAGAAUAGAUAUACAACAAAUAUUUGCAUAUUUGGUGGAAAACACUAUCUGAAUAUAUGAGAAUAAUUAACAAAGGGUAAAUUGUUUAUCAGGCAAACUUUUAACACUAUGAAAUAUAUAUCACCAUUUGUGUCUGAAGUAGUAAUAGAAAUUUCAUUAUACUCCAUGUUAUUUAUCAUUUCAUUAAUUUGUUGGUUGCUUAUCAUGGUGCAAUUUGUUAAUGCUGCUUUGUUUGUUUUUUUAUCAUUCUUAAUAAAAUCGUUCAUCCCAG